UGCUAGACCGAAUCUGACGCUGAGGGACGAAAGCUAGGGGAGCGAAUGGGAUUAGAUACCCCAGUAGUCCUAGCCGUAAACGAUGGAGACUAGGUGUUGCCUGUAUCGACCCGGGCAGUGCCGAAGCCAACGCGUUAAGUCUCCCGCCUGGGGAGUACGCACGCAAGUGUGAAACUCAAAGGAAUUGACGGGGGCCCGCACAAGCGGUGGAGUAUGUGGUUUAAUUCGAUGCAACGCGAAGAACCUUACCAGGGCUUGACAUCCCGCGAAUCUUCCCGAAAGGGGAGAGUGCCUACGGGAACGCGGAGACAGGUGGUGCAUGGCUGUCGUCAGCUCGUGUCGUGAGAUGUUGGGUUAAGUCCCGCAACGAGCGCAACCCUCGUCCUUAGUUGCCAGCCUUAAGUGGGGCACUCUAGGGAGACUGCCGGUGAUAAACCGGAGGAAGGUGGGGAUGACGUCAAGUCAUCAUGCCCCAUAUGUCCUGGGCUACACACGUACUACAAUGGUCGGGACAACGAGCAGCCAACUUGCGAAAGCGAGCUAAUCUCUUAAACCCGGCCUCAGUUCAGAUUGCAGGCUGCAACUCGCCUGCACGAAGGAGGAAUCGCUAGUAAUCGCAGGUCAGCAUACUGCGGUGAAUCCGUUCCCGGGCCUUGCACUCACCGCCCGUC
rnacentral:rRNA from 1 species